UACGUAGGGUGCAAGCGUUAAUCAGAAUUACUGGGCGUAAAGCGUGCGCAGGCGGUGAUGUAAGACAGAUGUGAAAUCCCCGGGCUCAACCUGGGAACUGCAUUUGUGACUGCAUCGCUGGAGUGCGGCAGAGGGGGAUGGAAUUCCGCGUGUAGCAGUGAAAUGCGUAGAUAUGCGGAGGAACACCGAUGGCGAAGGCAAUCCCCUGGGCCUGCACUGACGCUCAUGCACGAAAGCGUGGGGAGCAAACAGG
rnacentral:rRNA from 1 species